CGNCGUAGGAAUAUGCCUUAAAGAGUGGGACAACUUGGGGAAACUCAAGCUAAUACCGCAUAAUAUCUGAGGAUAAAAGUUGGGGACCGUAAGGCCUGGCGCUUUUAAGAUUAGCCUGGUCCGAUUAGCUAGUUGGUAGGGUAAAGGCCUACCAAGGCGACGAUCGGUAGCUGUUUCUGAGAGGAUGAUCAGCCACACUGGAACUGAGACACGGUCCAGACUCCUACGGGAGGCAGCAGUGGGGAAUAUUGGACAAUGGGCGGAAGCCUGAUCCAGCAAUACCGCGUGUGUGAAGAAGGCCUUAGGGUUGUAAAGCACUUUCAAUUGGGAGGAAAACCUACCGGUCAAUACCCGGUAGCUUGACAUUACCUUUAGAAGAAGCACCGGCUAACUCCGUGCCAGCAGCCGCGGUAAUACGGAGGGUGCGAGCGUUAAUCGGAAUUACUGGGCGUAAAGCGUGCGUAGGCGGUUCGUUAAGUCAGAUGUGAAAGCCCUGGGCUCAACCUGGGAACGGCAUUUGAAACUGGUGGACUAGAGUUUAGUAGAGGGGAGUGGAAUUUCAGGUGUAGCGGUGAAAUGCGUAGAUAUCUGAAGGAACACCAGUGGCGAAGGCGACUCCCUGGAC
rnacentral:rRNA from 1 species